rnacentral:ribozyme from 1 species
AAAUUUCAACUGCCAUAACAAAAGUGUUUGUACCAUGGCCCCUGUCAGAUUCCAACAAAUCUGCAAAUUCUGCU